AGAAGCUGACAUGUUUAUAGAUCCAGACUAUGCUUAGAAAGAGUUGCCAAGAUCACCCCAAAGAUCUUCUAAUCAAAGAUGCUCUCACAGGAUGCAGAUGCCUGAUACGAAAUGAAUGAGAAAGAACGCCCUGUUCACCGAAACAACAUUAAUGAACUUGUCAACUAUGCAGGGUGUUAGAAGAAACAAGACGUAGACAUCUUUAAAGCGAAGAUCAACUAUGCUAAAAUGAAGCACAAAUCCAGUGUGGUGGAAUUGGAUCGUUUGAAGGAAAAAUAUCCUCAUGCCUGGAGACGUACGUGCGAAAGACAAAAUUUGCCUAGCUAAAGAAAUUCUAGCUAAGAAAGCAGAGUUCAGAGCAGAAUUGAAGCAGAAAGCUGCCGACCAACAUAAACACCUCUCAGCGCAGCAACACAAAACAAAAAAAGGUGGCACCCAAUCUAUUCACCCAACUCCUGACAGUACAUGGAAUCACCCCAGACAAUUACAGACAUCCUCUGGCGUUUGGUCUUCUCCCUGGAAAGCGGCAAGAACACUACACAAACCUACUAGAAGAACUGGAUCGCUUUGGACCUUUCCAUCCAGACACCGCCCUUUGCGAUUAUGAAGCUGGGCUACGGAACAGUGUCACUGCUGUCUGGCCCGGGACUACUCUACAUGGCUGCUACUUCCACUUCAAACAGGCUCUAUGGAGGAACUUCGCUCGCUCCGACCUUGUUCCGGAGUAUCAGGUGGUUGGAUCCGACAUCCGGAAAGCCUUCCAACGGAUCGGAGCUCUACCUUUCAUCCCUCCUGGUGACGUCCACUACGCAUGGCAGACCCUUAGAGUUAGACCUAUCCUCUCCGCAGAUAUGGAUGUCUUUACAUUAUACUUUGAGUCCACGUGGAUGGGAACACCAAACAGACCUGCUCGCUUCGAUCACCUGUCCUGGAACCAGUACGAUUGCUGUCUAACUGGUCUCCCACGCUCUUUGAACCUUGCAGAAGGAUGACAUAAUGGUUUCCGCAGCCUCGUCCAGUGUUCAAAUCCUACCAUCUGGAAAUUCCUUGAAGCCCUCAAACUAGAGCAAGGACUAACAGACCAGAAGAUCACGGAUAGGCUGAUGAGAAGACCUCCACCCCAGAGAGCUGCCAAGUGGAUAAGGUACGACUCCCUUCUGGAAUCCUUCAUGCAAGCCUACAAUAACCAGGAGUACGAAGUCAUUGAUUAUCUCUCUGCUGUUUUUGCUGCACUAUGAAUUCGACAUUUGAUUAUUGAUAUUAACGGUUUUAUGAUAUUGGUAUUUAGUUAUACUUUCGAUUGUACUAUAUUUCAACCUUACUGCUAGGUUAUUUGAUCAUUGUUGAACUGUGUUUCAACGAUCAAUGCUUAAAUUAUUAGAAUCUUCAAUUAUGUUAGGCUUGAACUACUGUGAACACAAUAGAGAAUUAGAUAGUCAGCCAGGUCUGUAAUGAUUCCAUUUUAUCUGCAUCAUCCGAAAGUAUUUUGUACCUUUUAUUUGUGAUCUUCAUUGACACAAUAUUUGUAUAUCCAUAACCCUGUAACACGAACAGUUUUAAUAUCAAAACCGAGUCUUAACUGUUAGGUUAUUUAAAAUAGCUGACAUCGCUUUCGUAAUUGGUGCAUCGUGUGACCACCCAGACCACGGAGAGGAGAUCUCUGUCAUUCCUCUAGCAAAGCAGCCAGUUUAAAUUGAGAAGAGUAGCCCCUGAUGGGUGGUUACAGGUUAUCAGGAAGAGAGAGAGCAUGAACUGGACGAGUUUUGAUUUAAGAUGGUGUAAUUCAGAUAUUAUAGGAUAGGGCAUUGCAUUCAACAAUUUUGGGCCUGCACUUGCAGAUGAAUCUUCGUACAGCGACGGAUUCGCUGCCAAGCUGUGUCUGCAGAUCGAAUGACUGCAAGGUUUCUAAAACAUGGCCAGGAGACGAACUGCAAUGUUGACAACCGUUUACUUAAAGAUUUUAGAGUAAGCAUUUCAUGGGAUGUUUCGACUGUAAUCUUGAAUAUGACUGAAAUGAAUUAUUGAUAGAAUAAAA